rnacentral:lncRNA from 1 species
AGUUUAGAUAAUGGAUAUGUCGCACCCUCCUUCCUUUAUUCUUUGAUUUCUCUUCAAAAUUUGAUAAUCUCCUUCAGAGGAUCUCAGCGAGGAUCAGAUAUAUUCAAUCUGCAUUGCCUUUAAAAUGAAAAAAAAAAAAUUCAUAGUGAUGUUUGAAAUAGAAAUGUCAUCAGUUGCUGUUGAGAUUUUAAUUUGAAGGGAAGAUGAAACAUCUUGAACAUUGAAUCCUUUUGUUUACUUCUCACUUGGUCAUCUUCACAAAUGUUGUUCUUGCCUUUCCCUCCCUGAU